CAGUAGCCGCGGGAAUACGUAGGUGGCAAGCGUUGUCCGGAAUUAUUGGGCGUAAAGGGCUCGCAGGCGGUUUCUUAAGUCUGAUGUGAAAGCCCCCGGCUCAACCGGGGAGGGUCAUUGGAAACUGGGAAACUUGAGUGCAGAAGAGGAGAGUGGAAUCCCACGUGUAGCGGUGAAAUGCGUAGAGAUGUGGAGGAACACCAGUGGCGAAGGCGACUCUCUGGUCUGUAACUGACGCUGAGGAGCGAAAGCGUGGGGAGCGAACAGGAUUAGAUACCCCCGUAGUCCCUGUCUCUUAUAC
rnacentral:rRNA from 1 species